GGACCUGACUGCUAUCGGAUUGAUACUAAGCCAUGCGAGUCAUUGUAGUAAUACAAGGCAGACGGCUCAGUAACGCGUAGUCAACCUACCCUAUGGACGGGGAUAACCUCGGGAAACUGAGAAUAAUACCCGAUAGAACAUUAUACCUGGAAUGGUUUAUGUUUCAAAUAAUUUAUUGCCGUAGGAUGGGACUGCGGCCUAUCAGUUUGUUGGUGAGGUAAUGGCCCACCAAGACUAUUACAGGUACGGGCUCUGAGAGGAGUAGCCCGGAGAUGGGUACUGAGACACGGACCCAGGCCCUAUGGGGCGCAGCAGGCGAGAAAACUUUGCAAUGUGCGAAAGCACGACAAGGUUAAUCCGAGUGGUUUCUGCUAAAGGAACCUUUUGUCAGUCCUAGAAACACUGGCGAAUAAGGGGUGGGCAAGUUCUGGUGUCAAGCG
rnacentral:rRNA from 1 species